rnacentral:rRNA from 1 species
GAGUUUGAUCCUGGCUCAGAGUGAACGCUGGCGGCGUGCCUAAUACAUGCAAGUCGAACGAUGAAGCUUCUAGCUUGCUAGAGUGCUGAUUAGUGGCGCACGGGUGAGUAACGCAUAGGUCAUGUGCCUCUUAGUUUGGGAUAGCCAUUGGAAACGAUGAUUAAUACCAGAUACUCCCUACGGGGGAAAGAUUUAUCGCUAAGAGAUCAGCCUAUGUCCUAUCAGCUUGUUGGUAAGGUAAUGGCUUACCAAGGCUAUGACGGGUAUCCGGCCUGAGAGGGUGAACGGACACACUGGAACUGAGACACGGUCCAGACUCCUACGGGAGGCAGCAGUAGGGAAUAUUGCUCAAUGGGGGAAACCCUGAAGCAGCAACGCCGCGUGGAGGAUGAAGGUUUUAGGAUUGUAAACUCCUUUUGUUAGAGAAGAUAAUGACGGUAUCUAACGAAUAAGCACCGGCUAACUCCGUGCCAGCAGCCGCGGUAAUACGGAGGGUGCAAGCGUUACUCGGAAUCACUGGGCGUAAAGAGCGCGUAGGCGGGAUAGUCAGUCAGGUGUGAAAUCCUAUGGCUUAACCAUAGAACUGCAUUUGAAACUACUAUUCUAGAGUGUGGGAGAGGUAGGUGGAAUUCUUGGUGUAGGGGUAAAAUCCGUAGAGAUCAAGAGGAAUACUCAUUGCGAAGGCGACCUGCUGGAACAUUACUGACGCUGAUUGCGCGAAAGCGUGGGGAGCAAACAGGAUUAGAUACCCUGGUAGUCCACGCCCUAAACGAUGGAUGCUAGUUGUUGGAGGGCUUAGUCUCUCCAGUAAUGCAGCUAACGCAUUAAGCAUCCCGCCUGGGGAGUACGGUCGCAAGAUUAAAACUCAAAGGAAUAGACGGGGACCCGCACAAGCGGUGGAGCAUGUGGUUUAAUUCGAAGAUACACGAAGAACCUUACCUAGGCUUGACAUUGAGAGAAUCCGCUAGAAAUAGUGGAGUGUCUGGCUUGCUAGACCUUGAAAACAGGUGCUGCACGGCUGUCGUCAGCUCGUGUCGUGAGAUGUUGGGUUAAGUCCCGCAACGAGCGCAACCCCCUUUCUUAGUUGCUAACAGGUUAUGCUGAGAACUCUAAGGAUACUGCCUCCGUAAGGAGGAGGAAGGUGGGGACGACGUCAAGUCAUCAUGGCCCUUACGCCUAGGGCUACACACGUGCUACAAUGGGGUGCACAAAGAGAAGCAAUACUGCGAAGUGGAGCCAAUCUUCAAAACAUCUCUCAGUUCGGAUUGUAGGCUGCAACUCGCCUGCAUGAAGCUGGAAUCGCUAGUAAUCGCAAAUCAGCCAUGUUGCGGUGAAUACGUUCCCGGGUCUUGUACUCACCGCCCGUCACACCAUGGGAGUUGUGUUUGCCUUAAGUCAGGAUGCUAAAUUGGCUACUGCCCACGGCACACACAGCGACUGGGGUGAAGUCGUAACAAGGUAACCGUAGGUGAACCUGCGGUUGGAUCACC